AUUGAACGCUGGCGGAAGGCCUAACACAUGCAAGUCGAACGAGUGGCGGACGGGUGAGUAAUGUCUGGGAAACUGCCCGAUGGAGGGGGGUAACUACUGGAAACGGUAGCUAAUACCGCAUACCAUCGGAUGUGCCCAGAUGGGAUUAGCUAGUAGGUGGGGUAACGGCUCACCUAGGCGACGAUCCAUAGCUGCUCUGAGAGGAUGACCAGCCACACUGGAACUGUGACACGGUCCAAGGUCCUACGGGAGGCAGCAGUAGGGAAUAUUGCACAAUGGGCGCAGGCCUGAUGCAGCCAGGCCGCGUGUAUGAAGAAGGCCUUCGGGUUGUAAAGUACUUUCAGCGAGGAGGCGUUACUCGCAGAAGAAGCACCGGCUAACUCCGUGCCAGCAGCCGCGGUAAUUC
rnacentral:rRNA from 1 species